rnacentral:lncRNA from 1 species
CAUUCAAUAUUUUAUAUUAUUUCACAUUUUUUCAUCAUUUAAACAACUCAAUCACAUUUCUUAAAUAUUCAUAAGACUCAUUAAAAGCUCUCAAAUAGGUCCCACUUGACCCCACAAUUUUUUCCACAUUUACGUAUAAGUGUAGUUUAAUUUAUUUUUUUAAUUUCUUUCAUUGCCAUUCAUUGCUAGCAAAGCAGAAAAGAACCGUGUUUCUGCAAAUGAACGUUUUAUGUUUAGGUACGUUCUUUAUGUGCCAAUUAUCGGUUCUGUCUGACACAACAACAUUGAAAAAAGUGUAGCAACUCUUGGAUGGCAGGCGAUAUU